ACUUUUCUAAAAUGAAUUCUGUUACGCAAUUUAUUUUAGACUUCUUGAAUAUAUAUAUAUGUAUAUAUAAAAUUUGGCUUGCGGCUUGUCAAUUAGGGGUGAUGGUGAGUCCCGCAGCCAGACCAGUUGAGAACCACUGUUCUAAAUGAUGCUGACAAUAUGCUUUUAGCUUAAACGAAUAUGGUAAUCCAGUGCCGAGGCCAAGCUCCUUUUUGUUAACACUUUGCUUAUGAACCAGGGGAGGAAGCUGUACUAAAGGACCACACAGCGAAGGCCAGAGUGUGAUAUGGAACCGCAUGUGUGCUGCAGGGCUCCCGAAGGGCUGCAGUCUGUCCGUCCUGUAUGCUGUGUGAGGAGACUACAUUUAUGGUGAAAAAACGUACUGGGAGCAGCUCUUGGCCCUGGGAACAAAUACUGUUAUUAAUCAUGCUCAGACUUUGGAAAAGUGUUCUAUCCCCACAAGCUGAAGUAGUUUUAUCUUUAAAAUGCCCAUGGCCCUGCAUAAUGCUUUUCCGAGGUCCUAACUGGAUGAAGUUUAUCUGUGAUGCGGUAAAUUUAAGCUAGCACAACAUCCGUCUGAGCUUCUGCAUGUAUAUGGCUGCUGUCACUUUGUGCCAUUUUGUUUUGUAAAUAAAAUAGUUUUGCACAAAUGUU